UACGUAGGGUGCAAGCGUUAAUCGGAAUUACUGGGCGUAAAGCGUGCGCAGGCGGCUUUGCAAGACAGAUGUGAAAUCCCCGGGCUCAACCUGGGAACUGCAUUUGUGACUGCAUGGCUAGAGUGCGGCAGAGGGGGAUGGAAUUCCGCGUGUAGCAGUGAAAUGCGUAGAUAUGCGGAGGAACACCGAUGGCGAAGGCAACCCCCUGGGCCUGCACUGACGCUCAUGCACGAAAGCGUGGGGAGCAAACAGG
rnacentral:rRNA from 1 species